rnacentral:rRNA from 1 species
GGGUUGUGAGGUUAAGCGACUAAGCGUACACGGUGGAUGCCCUGGCAGUCAGAGGCGAUGAAGGACGUGCUAAUCUGCGAAAAGCGCCGGCGAGGUGAUAUGAACCUUUGACCCGGCGAUGUCCGAAUGGGGAAACCCAGUGUGUUCCGACACACUAUCGUUAACUGAAUACAUAGGUUAACGAGGCGAACCGGGGGAACUGAAACAUCUAAGUACCCCGAGGAAAAGAAAUCAACCGAGAUUCCCCCAGUAGCGGCGAGCGAACGGGGAGCAGCCCAGAGUCUGAAUCAGCUUGUGUGUUAGUGGAAGCGUCUGGAAAGUCGCACGGUACAGGGUGACAGUCCCGUACACGAAAGCACACAGGUUGUGAACUCGAAGAGUAGGGCGGGACACGUGGUAUCCUGUCUGAAUAUGGGGGGACCAUCCUCCAAGGCUAAAUACUCCUGACUGACCGAUAGUGAACCAGUACCGUGAGGGAAAGGCGAAAAGAACCCCGGCGAGGGGAGUGAAAAAGAACCUGAAACCGUGUACGUACAAGCAGUGGGAGCCUCUUUAUGGGGUGACUGCGUACCUUUUGUAUAAUGGGUCAGCGACUUAUAUUCUGUAGCAAGGUUAACCGUAUAGGGGAGCCGAAGGGAAACCGAGUCUUAACUGGGCGUUAAGUUGCAGGGUAUAGACCCGAAACCCGGUGAUCUAGCCAUGGGCAGGUUGAAGGUUGGGUAACACUAACUGGAGGACCGAACCGACUAAUGUUGAAAAAUUAGCGGAUGACUUGUGGCUGGGGGUGAAAGGCCAAUCAAACCGGGAGAUAGCUGGUUCUCCCCGAAAGCUAUUUAGGUAGCGCCUCGUGAACUCAUCUUCGGGGGUAGAGCACUGUUUCGGCUAGGGGGCCAUCCCGGCUUACCAACCCGAUGCAAACUACGAAUACCGAAGAAUGUUAUCACGGGAGACACACGGCGGGUGCUAACGUCCGUCGUGAAGAGGGAAACAACCCAGACCGCCAGCUAAGGUCCCAAAGUCAUGGUUAAGUGGGAAACGAUGUGGGAAGGCACAGACAGCCAGGAUGUUGGCUUAGAAGCAGCCAUCAUUUAAAGAAAGCGUAAUAGCUCACUGGUCGAGUCGGCCUGCGCGGAAGAUGUAACGGGGCUAAACCAUGCACCGAAGCUGCGGCAGCGACGCUUAUGCGUUGUUGGGUAGGGGAGCGUUCUGUAAGCCGUUGAAGGUGUCCUGUGAGGGGUGCUGGAGGUAUCAGAAGUGCGAAUGCUGACAUAAGUAACGAUAAAGCGGGUGAAAAGCCCGCUCGCCGGAAGACCAAGGGUUCCUGUCCAACGUUAAUCGGGGCAGGGUGAGUCGACCCCUAAGGCGAGGCCGAAAGGCGUAGUCGAUGGGAAACAGGUUAAUAUUCCUGUACUUGGUGUUACUGCGAAGGGGGGACGGAGAAGGCUAUGUUAGCCGGGCGACGGUUGUCCCGGUUUAAGCAUGUAGGCGGAGGUUCCAGGUAAAUCCGGUUCCUUGUUAACGCUGAGGUGUGAUGACGAGGCACUACGGUGCUGAAGUAACAAAUGCCCUGCUUCCAGGAAAAGCCUCUAAGCAUCAGGUAACAUCAAAUCGUACCCCAAACCGACACAGGUGGUCAGGUAGAGAAUACCAAGGCGCUUGAGAGAACUCGGGUGAAGGAACUAGGCAAAAUGGUGCCGUAACUUCGGGAGAAGGCACGCUGAUAUGUAGGUGAAGUCCCUGCGGAUGGAGCUGAAAUCAGUCGAAGAUACCAGCUGGCUGCAACUGUUUAUUAAAAACACAGCACUGUGCAAACACGAAAGUGGACGUAUACGGUGUGACGCCUGCCCGGUGCCGGAAGGUUAAUUGAUGGGGUUAGCGGCAACGCGAAGCUCUUGAUCGAAGCCCCGGUAAACGGCGGCCGUAACUAUAACGGUCCUAAGGUAGCGAAAUUCCUUGUCGGGUAAGUUCCGACCUGCACGAAUGGCGUAAUGAUGGCCAGGCUGUCUCCACCCGAGACUCAGUGAAAUUGAACUCGCUGUGAAGAUGCAGUGUACCCGCGGCAAGACGGAAAGACCCCGUGAACCUUUACUAUAGCUUGACACUGAACACUGGUCCUUGAUGUGUAGGAUAGGUGGGAGGCUUUGAAGCGUGGACGCCAGUCUGCGUGGAGCCAACCUUGAAAUACCACCCUUUAAUGGCUGGUGUUCUAACGUAGACCCGUGAUCCGGGUUGCGGACAGUGUCUGGUGGGUAGUUUGACUGGGGCGGUCUCCUCCCAAAGAGUAACGGAGGAGCACGAAGGUUAGCUAAUCCUGGUCGGACAUCAGGAGGUUAGUGCAAUGGCAUAAGCUAGCUUGACUGCGAGAGUGACGGCUCGAGCAGGUGCGAAAGCAGGUCAUAGUGAUCCGGUGGUUCUGAAUGGAAGGGCCAUCGCUCAACGGAUAAAAGGUACUCCGGGGAUAACAGGCUGAUACCGCCCAAGAGUUCAUAUCGACGGCGGUGUUUGGCACCUCGAUGUCGGCUCAUCACAUCCUGGGGCUGAAGUAGGUCCCAAGGGUAUGGCUGUUCGCCAUUUAAAGUGGUACGCGAGCUGGGUUUAGAACGUCGUGAGACAGUUCGGUCCCUAUCUGCCGUGGGCGCUGGAGAAUUGAGGGGGGCUGCUCCUAGUACGAGAGGACCGGAGUGGACGCAUCACUGGUGUUCGGGUUGUCAUGCCAAUGGCACUGCCCGGUAGCUAAAUGCGGAAGAGAUAAGUGCUGAAAGCAUCUAAGCACGAAACUUGCCCCGAGAUGAGUUCUCCCUGAGACUUUAAGUCUCCUGAAGGAACGUUGAAGACUACGACGUUGAUAGGUCGGGUGUGUAAGCGCAGCGAUGCGUUGAGCUAACCGAUACUAAUGAACCGUGAGGCUUAACCUUACAACGCCGAAGGUGUUU